rnacentral:rRNA from 1 species
UACGAAGGGGGCUAGCGUUGUUCGGAAUUACUGGGCGUAAAGGGCGCGUAGGCGGCGUGUCAAGUCAGGCGUGAAAGCCCCGGGCUCAACCUGGGAACCGCGCUUGAGACUGGCAUGCUCGAGUUCGGGAGAGGAUGGUGGAAUUCCCAGUGUAGAGGUGAAAUUCGUAGAUAUUGGGAAGAACAUCGAUGGCGAAGGCAGCCAUCUGGACCGACACUGACGCUGAGGCGCGAAAGCGUGGGGAGCAAACAGG